rnacentral:rRNA from 1 species
CUCGCUUCACGGCUUCCCUACGGCACCGACAACGGUCGCACCGUGGCCGACACCUAGCGAGUAUCGUUUACGGCUAGGACUACCCGGGUAUCUAAUCCGGUUCGUGCCCCUAGCUUUCGUCCCUUGCCGUCAGGUCCGUUCUGGUGAGACGCCUUCGCCACUGGUGGUCCUUCAAGGAUUACAAGAUUUCACCCCUACCCCUGAAGUACCUCUCACCUCUCCCGGCCUCGAGCCGAACAGUAUCUCCUGAAAGCCCAACAGUUGAGCUGCUGGAUUUCUCAAGAGACUUAUCCGGCCGGCUACAGACCCUUUAGACCCAAUAAUAACGGUUACCACUCGAGCCGCCGGUGUUACCGCGGCGGCUGGCACCGGUCUUGCCCGGCCCUUGCUAUGCAAUGCUUUUUAUGCAUCACGACAGCCAGAUUUGUAACCUGGCACUCGAAGUCCCCUUAUCGCC